GAGGUUGGCGGGGGUGGGCCGGCGCGCCACCCCGGCUGACACCUGGUGGUCCCUAGAGCUUGGGACCCUUCCCCGGGAGCUGGUCCCAGGGGGGGCGGGCGUUGCUGGGAGGCGGAGGGCUGCUUGGCCGCAGGUCCUGCGGUGUUGGCGAGCAUGAGUGCGUGCGCGUGUUUCUCUGAGGUCGGGCGCUGCGGCCGACUCUGCCCCCUCCUCCCGCUAACUCGGGUCGGCAGCGGGAGCCUAGAGAAGGCAACGUGGAGCCCAGAGCCGAGGCGCCCUUAGAUCGCGCUCUCUGUCCCCAGCAAAGGGGGCAACUCUGGCCCAAGUCCUGGCCUAGAGGGAGCGCUGUGGAUACGCGCUGCCUUCUGCCUGGAAGUGUUGGGCAGGUGGUGGGAGUUCCUGAAUGUCAGGGUUUUAAAACACGUGUUUGUCUCUGUCAUUUUUACUUUUUAGGGUUUUGGCCAAAUUGGGCGAGGGCACAAAAUAACCACUUACCCCUUCUCACCGAGGAAGAACGGGAGAAAGGCAUGUGGAGUUCCCAGGCCAGGGAUCAGAUCCUAAGGAAGGCUGGGACCUAAUGCCUGCCUCAGGUCCUUAAGCUACUGUGCUGGGCCAGUGAUCGAACCUGUGUCCCUGCGCUCCAGAGAUACCACCAAUCGCGUUGAGCUGCAGUGGGGACGCCCAGAAUUUUUUAAUGUGAGAAAGAAAAUAAAUCUCUCUCCUGUUUGUUUCACUUAAAAAAGGUUAACCGAAUUAAUCCCUCCAUUCACCACAGUGGAUACCUGUUUAAUCUUCUGUCUUGUUUAGAUUAAGUGUCUAGUGGGACAAGGACCAUUUCUCUUUCUCUCUCUGUGUAUAUAAACGUGUGGUGUAAAUCAAGAAUAUUGAGGUUGUUUUGCCCAGUGUUUCACAUCUUUGAUUAGAAACUAUUGCUGAAGCCAAGUAAAGUUUAAUAUUUCUUUUCUUUUUUUUCAUUUUUUACAUAGAGAAUGUUCCUCUACCUUUUUGCAUUUUACUCAGAAAUAGCAGAGACAUUUCUCUCUAACUGCUGUGUUUGCAUUCCUGAAAAAUCUUUAAUUCUGCAAAAUCAUAUGCUAAAAGUGAUAGUGCUUCUAGGGCAAAUAGGGUUAGGAACAGAUGGUUUAAAACCGGUGAAAUUGUGUAAACAGAGUCAGUAUCAAAAAAUGAUAAUUAUAAAAACACCAACAUGGUUAAAUCUUCACUGGCCUUUACAUCCACCCUCGCACUUAGCCUUAAACUCUAGUUUUCUUCCUUUAAGUUAUGGGUCCUUAAAGUCAUCCACUUCUAACCCAGACCGAUUUCAUCAAAGUUAAAAAUCUCAUCCAGGGUGUUUUCUUUUUUGUUUUCUUUUAAACACAAGGGGAAAUAUUUUGCAUUUCUUCAUCUGUACUCUCAGCUUCCUUUGGUUGCUUAUGAUAGUGGAGAAUUUUAAGGCAGCGAAUGAGACUUUCCACUUUGUUGCAUGUGAACUAAUUUACAUUAAAGAAAUAUCUGUUGUAGCAGAAAAGACCCAUGUCAGUGUGCUUUAAUAUAUACAGAUAAUAUAUACCUAUUAUUGAGAAUUGAAAUAAUAUGGAAAAGUAUAAGAAAAGUAAAAAUCCCUUGACUGCCAGUAAAUACUGCUGUUGUCAUUUGUGUGCCUGCUGUUCCUCACCUGACCUUUUCUGAUGAUGAUGAUGACGUAUAUAAAAUUUCACAUAAAUGAGUUCAUAUUAUACUUUGAGUGUUCCAACCUUUUUUCAAGACAGAAUGUCUACCAAUAUAGCUAUACGAUAUCCUUUUUAAUGAUUUCUCUAUAUGCUUGUUGUAGUUUCUUUCUUUUCUUUUUCUUUUUUUUUUUGCACAGACAUGCUCCUGUUUUCAGUUUAUUCUGUUACAAAUAGUGGUGUACUGGAAGUCCUUGCUCACAUCUUUGUGCCUUAGAGAUGAUGUCUCUGCCUCAGAGAUGUGUGUCCAUGUGACACUUUGGCACGUGCUAUUCUAUUAUGUUCAAGAAAAGUUGUACCCAUUUACAUUCCCAGGAGAGUUUUGAGAAAUCCUGUGCUCCCACACUGGGUAGCUUUAGUUUUCUAAGUCUUUAUCAGUCUGGUAAGUUAAAAAAUUGAUAUAUAUAUAUUUUUUUUGUUUUUGUUUUUGUUUUUUUUUUUUUUCUUUUUAUGGCCGCGCUGUACCUAUGGCAUAUGGAACUUCCCAGGCUAGGGGUCGAAUCAGAGCUGCAGCUGCCAGCCUACACCACAGCCACAGCAACACCAGAUCUGAGCCGCCUCUAUGACCUAUGCCACAGCUUGUGGCAAUACCAGAUCCUUAAUCCACUGAGUGAGGCCAGGGAUCGAACCCGCAUCCUCACAGAAACAACACUGGGAGCUUAACUCCCUGAGCCACAAUAGGAACUCCAAUAUUUUGUUUUAUUUGUAUUUGUUUUAUUAUUAGUGUGGUAGAACAUCUUUAUAUAUAUAUGCUAUCCAUAUUUCGCUUUCAGUGACAUGUAUUUUACUCAUUCUUCUCUCGGAACAUUUACCUUUUUUCUUACAAGCAUUGUAUAAUUUUAGAGAUAUCAAACCUUUGGAAUUAAUAUAUAUUGCAAUUUUUAGUGUCAUGCUGAUUAUCUUAUAACCUUAUAUUUGGGAUAUAUUGAUUUUUAUGAUGUCAAAUCUAUUAAUAUUUUUUCUUUUAUGUAUUCUGGGUUUUGUGAAAUGUUCAAAAAGCUCUCUUUCCACUCCUAGAAGAUUGUUUGCCUUUAUUGUCUUUUAUUACUUUUAUGUUUUUAUUUUUACACUUAAUCUUUGAAUUAUCUGAAAUUUAUUAUUCUAUAAUGAAUAAAAUAAAUACUGACC
rnacentral:lncRNA from 1 species